CAGAUUGAACGCUGGCGGCAGGCCUAACACAUGCAAGUCGAGCGGUAGAGAGGUGCUUGCAUCUCUUGAGAGCGGCGGACGGGUGAGUAAUGCCUAGGAAUCUGCCUAGUGGUGGGGGAUAACGUUCGGAAACGGACGCUAAUACCGCGUACGUCCUACGGGAGAAAGCGGGGGACCUUCGGGCCUCGCGCCAUUAGAUGAGCCUAGGUCGGAUUAGCUAGUUGGUGAGGUAAUGGCUCACCAAGGCGACGAUCCGUAACUGGUCUGAGAGGAUGAUCAGUCACACUGGAACUGAGACACGGU
rnacentral:rRNA from 1 species